ACAAUGAAGAGUUUGAUCCUGGCUCAGGAUGAACGCUAGCGGCAGGCCUAACACAUGCAAGUCGAGGGGUAACGUGAGUGCUUGCACUUGACGACGACCGGCGCACGGGUGCGGAACGCGUAUGGAACCUACCUUUAUCAGGGGGAUAGCCCAUGGAAACGUGGAUUAAUACCCCAUAGUAUUAUUUCAUUGCAUAAUGAUUUAAUUAAAGAAUUUCGGAUAGAGAUGGCCAUGCGUAUCAUUAGCUAGUAGGCGAGGUAACGGCUCACCUAGGCGACGAUGAUUAGGGGUCCUGAGAGGGAGAUCCCCCACACUGGUACUGAGACACGGACCAGACUCCUACGGGAGGCAGCAGUGAGGAAUAUUGGGCAAUGGAGGCAACUCUGACCCAGCCAUGCCGCGUGCAGGAAGACGGCCCUAUGGGUUGUAAACUGCUUUUAUACAGGAAGAACACCACCCACGUGUGGGUGACUGACGGUACUGUAAGAAUAAGGACCGGCUAACUCCGUGCCAGCAGCCGCGGUAAUACGGAGGGUCCAAGCGUUAUCCGGAAUCAUUGGGUUUAAAGGGUCCGUAGGCGGGCUAAUAAGUCAGAGGUGAAAGUUUGCAGCUCAACUGUAAAAUUGCCUUUGAUACUGUUAGUCUUGAGUUAUAGUGAAGUGGUUAGAAUAAGUGGUGUAGCGGUGAAAUGCAUAGAUAUCACUUAGAAUACCGAUUGCGAAGGCAGAUCACUAACUGUAUACUGACGCUGAGGGACGAAAGCAUGGGUAGCGAACGGGAUUAGAUACCCCGGUAGUCCAUGCUGUAAACGAUGGAUACUAGCUGUUGGCUUCGGUCAGUGGCUAAGCGAAAGUGAUAAGUAUCCCACCUGGGGAGUACGUUCGCAAGAAUGAAACUCAAAGGAAUUGACGGGGGCCCGCACAAGCGGUGGAGCAUGUGGUUUAAUUCGAUGAUACGCGAGGAACCUUACCAGG
rnacentral:rRNA from 1 species